CCUACGGGUGGCAGCAGUGAGGAAUAGUGGUCAAUGGGCGCGAGCCUGAACCAGCCAAGUAGCGUGAGGGAAGACGGUCCUAUGGAUUGUAAACCUCUUUUGUCGGGGAGCAAAAGACGCCACGCGUGGCGUUACGAGAGUACCCGAAGAAAAAGCAUCGGCUAAAUCCGUGCCAGAAGCCGCGGUCAUACGGAGGAUGCGAGCGUUAUCCGGAUUUAUUGGGUUUAAAGGGUGCGCAGGCGGAAGAUCAAGGCAGCGGUAAAAUUGAGAGGCUCAACCUCUUCGAGCCGUUGAAACUGGUUUUCUGGAGUGAGUGAGAAGUAUGCGGAAUGCGUGGUGUAGCGGUGAAAUGCAUAGAUAUCACGCAGAACUCCGAUUGCGAAGGCAGCAUACCGGCGCUCAACUGACGCUCAGGCACGAAAGUGUGGGUAUCGAACAGGAUUAGAUACCCUGGUAGUC
rnacentral:rRNA from 1 species